rnacentral:lncRNA from 1 species
ACAGCAGUAACCUGAGCCACAGCAGUGACAAUGCUGGAUCCUUAACCCACUGAACCACUAGGAAACUCUGAAAUCUCAGUAUUUUAAAGUCAACUCCUUGGCAACCUUCAUUUCAUCUGCAACUUUUACUCCCCCUUGCUGUGCACCAUCACAUAUUCACAGGUUCUGUGGACUUAUGGUUUCUUUUUUCAUUUAUUAUUUAUGUAAAUGAAUAUUUAUAUUCAUUGUUAAUAUUGUGUCACCACUGCAUUGCAUCAAAUUCUUCUAAAACUAACUCUUCCAAUUUGUGUGAUAUUCUUAUACAUAGUAUACUGUUGCACAAUAGUAUAUGUUUGGCCUGAAAGCAGUAGUGAUUUUAUAAUUCAUAAUUUAUAUAAAAAACACAAAACUCAACAUUUCAAGCCAAGCAAUAAAUAUAUUAUGUGGUAGAAAAUAAAUAUUGAUAGGAUUUUUCCCCUAGUGUUCCUAAAAUUGGCGAGAUAGCAGCUCAAAGAUUAUGAGGAAGCGAUAAAUAUUAAACACCAAUAGAAGCAGGGGCUGCCUAAAGGCUCCCAGAGCAUACAGUUGGUCUUUACUAAUGAGUCUUCUCCAGACCAAGCCCAGCUCCUGAAAUUCCUAUAAAGCUCUAAUGAGCCCUAUUCCACUCUGAUCUGGAAGGGGAGAGGAAAGGAAGGGAAGCAGAAAGACAGGUGACAUAUAUGUGCACAAGGACCGUGAAACAUGAAAAGGGUGGCCUCACUCACCCACCGCCCAGCUGGUAGUGACAGGUGGCCAACUCACACAGGGGUCACAGCCCAGGCUGCAGGGUGACAGGUGUGGAAAGAGGAGUUACCUGAAGGCUGCCGAUUGGCCCAGCUGCUCCCAACCUAGGCCACCAUUCUCUACAUGGAGAAGUCAAAAAAUUCACUUAUGGUCUCUGUGAGGAUGGCUUCCCAGACUAAUUGGCAGCUUGGCAAAGGACAUAGGGAAUGAGACACUAGCCUAGCAGGGAAGCAGGUAGAGAUGCCCUGGGAAUGUCUUAGGUCGCUCUAAGCACAGCAGAGGAACUGGGUGGCAAAAGGUAUUUAAACACCUUCCAAGAAACUUCCACCCCUUUCUGGUCACAUUAACCACCUAGCAAGUGAAAAUGGUUCACUAUUCCUGAAUACAGAUAAAGCCUCAGACCUGGUGCAAGACACAUUAUAUGCAUUAUGUCAUUUGAUCUUAUCACCAGUUCAGUAAGUUCCUUUUAGCAACCAUAAUUAACAGAGAAAAAACUGAGGCCAGAGAAGUUUAGUUACUUACUUAAGGUUGCACAGCUGAUACAUUUCAGAGUUGGGAUUCAAUUCCAAGACGUUGACCCCUUUAAACCAGGAAGUGCUUUAUAUAGCCUUCUCCUCAGGGUUGUUUCUUCCUCAGUGGAAGGAUAAUUGGAACCAUCAGUUUAUUUUGCUGUAGAACCUGUGGCUUUUUCUAGGGCUAUCUGGGGUGAAGCCUAGAACAAAUGUGCAAAGUAAGCAGUCAAAAGAAUUACCAGCAGAGAUAAAAGAAUGCUGGGUAGGUGAUCUACUCUAGCUACAUCUCCAGGAAGAUAGCUGACUUCUGAUUGCUUAGAUGAGAAGAGGGGAGAAUGUGUAAUAGUUCACAUCAGCAAAUACCCGUUUAGAGUCACCACCAGGAACAAAGGUGACAUCUGGUAUUUCAUACGUAGUCUUCAGGAAGGCCUGUGUGACUUGAUUUUCCUCUCUCCCUUGCAGCGGCUAAGCCACUAUGGGAAAGGAACUUGUGUUGGGUUUGCUUUUCUAGGUCUGACACUGCCCUGAAUCCUUGGUUCUUCACUGUGGUUGAGUCAUCUUCAUACCAGCACCUAGGGUGUGUUGUUAACAAUGAACUGUAAAACGGUGUGACUGCAUGAGUUGUUACCAGUCAUGUCUACUUGGCUGGCACAUUCACAUGGGCGGGAAAUGACUGUGUGUAGCCAUGGUAUUCCUACCACUUCUCUCUCUUUCUGAGAGCAUCAUGGAGAGGAUUAGGGUUAUCACGUGGAACAGGACAAUAUGACCCCAGUAUCAAAUCAUCUGCAAAACCUUGUUGACUCUUGGUAGAGAAGCAAAACUUAAAUGCUCAAAUUAUGAACUCUACCUUGGAGAACCCCCACAUUUUGCUGCAUGUGUGUGUGUGUGUUAACCUAAAACAUUUUUGUUGUGUAAAUUAUUAUAGUGUUAUUUUGAUAAUUUUCUUCCUUUGAGGUAAAGUUCUAGGAAUUUUAACUCAUGUAUAGAUUCAUGCAACUACCUCCAUGAUCAGGAUACAGAACAAUCCCAUUACCCAUUUCCCCCCAAAGACUCUAUGCUGUUAUUUCUUUAUAGUCACUCACUCCUAGGCCCAGAAUACCACUGAUCUUUCUUCCUGUUUACAGUUUUGUCUCUAGAAAGCCAUAUAAGUGGAAUCUUACAGCAUGUAACCUCUUGACAUCAGCUUUUUUCAAUUAGCACAAUGUCUUAAUGAUUCAUCCAACUUGUGUAUCAAUACUUCCGUUUUUUUCUCUUGCUGAGUAGUAUCCCAUGGUAUGAAUGUGUCAUCGCCAUUAAUUUCUCAAAAGUUCAUUCUAUUUUAAAAUUGAAGUUUAAUUCAUACACUGUAACAUUAACGCCUUUACCUUAGUUUUGCAAAAAAGAAAAAAAAAAAGAAUAAGCAAGGGGUCAUUUGAAAAUUCUUACUCCAUAAAGACUCAAGCUUUAAGACGGAAACAGAUUUUUGGACACACCAUGUUUGUCUGACUUUCUCCAGUAGAUUGUUUCUAUAUUUGGAGAAUGUUCAGUACAAUUCCUUCUCCAUCUGCUUAUACUCAUGUUAUUAACAAAUGUUCAUGCCUAGAGCUAUUCUAUGCAUUUCAAAUAUUUCCAUAUAUCAAUGUAUGAAAAUGUACACACACAUAUAUAGAAGCAUACAAAUAUAUGUAUAUGUACAUAUAUAAAUAGAUGCUUAUAAUAUCAAGGUGUGUACUUACAUACUCACAGACAUUUCCCCCCCUACACAAAUGGGAGCAUAUUCUGCCAAAUGUUCUCUAUAUUAUACACCCUUAUUCGCUUAAGUUCCCUUCUCCCGGAAUUCUUUCCAGAAAAGUUCAUUUAAAGCAGUCUGUUAAGUUCAUUUUACUUUAUUGUAUGAGUGGAUGAUAAUUUCUUUAGGCAUCUCAUUACUGAAGAUGGUCCAGUAACCUUCUAAACUUUGCUCAUACAAUGAAUAUAUAUCAUUUUAUUUGUAUCAUUUCACACAAAUGGAAGCAUCUUUGUAGGAUAAUAUCUUAGAAGUGGAAUUUCUGGGUCAAGGGGUAUGUGAUUUAUUUUUGAAAGGUCUGGCCAAAGUAUCCUUCAGGGAAGUCAUAUCAAUAUCUUAUUGGCAAUGUAUCACAAUAUUUCUACAUUAUCUGUAUUUAUUUAGCAACUGAUUGUUUUAACAUAAUUGCAGAUAUUAAUUAAUAUUCUAUUAUAAAUGUCAGAAAAUUAGCAUUACUAUUUUCUUUCUUUUCAUGACAUUAACACUUUCGAAGAGCCUAGGCUAUUUACUUUGAAGACUGUCCCUCAAUUUCAGUCUAUCUUUUCUUUAAAACAAAGAACCAACUUCAAAUAACUCAAAGCAAAAUACAAGGAAAACUUUCCAAACAUAAAAAAAUAAGCAAAAUAAAAUUUAAAAAUACAGUUAGUAAGAAUAUCUACCAUCGGGCGCUGGAGGUGGGGGAGUGAUGAGAGGAGAAAAAAAAUAGGUGAGAGAGAUUAAGAAGUACAAAGUUCCAAUUACAAAAUAAAUGAGUUAUGGGUAUGAAAUGUACAGUGUGUGGAAUAUAAUCAAUAAUUAUGUAGCAUCUUUAUAGAAUGACAGCUGGUAACAGACUUAUCAUGAUCAUUUUGAAACGUAUAGAAAUAUAGAAUCACUAUGUUGCACACCAGGAGCUAACAGUGUUGUAGGUCAAUUUUACUUCAAAAACAAACAAAAUCAUAGAAAAAGAGAUCAGAUUGUGUUUACCAGAGGCGACAGGUGGGGAUGGGGGUGGGGAGUGGGGGAAUUGGAUGAAGGAAAUCAAAAGGUAAACUUCCAGUUAUAAAUAAGUAUCAGAGGUACAAUAUGCAAAUAACACUGAUGUAUGUUAUACAUGAAGGAUAUUAACAGUGUAAAUCCUAAGAGUUCUCAUCACAAGGAAAAAUUUUUUUUCUACUUCUUUAAUUUUGUAUCUAUAUGGGAUGUUGGAUGUGCACUAAACUUACUGUGGUAAUCAUUUCAAGAUCUAUGUAGGUUAAAUUAUCAUGCUGCACACCUUUAAUGUAUACAGUGCUGUAUGUCAGUUAUAUCUCAAUAAAACUAGAAGAAAAAAGGAAGAAUACAUAUCUGUUUGUUUGUUUGACUAUUUACCAUUUUUUGAACACUUAGUACAUGCCAGAUAUUGAAUUCAGCACUUUGCCGAGGGGUAGUA